rnacentral:rRNA from 1 species
CAGAGGGGGCAAGCGUUGUUCGGAAUUACUGGGCGUAAAGGGCGCGUAGGCGGCCUUCUAAGUCGGACGUGAAAUCCCCGGGCUCAACCCGGGAACUGCGUCCGAGACUGGAAGGCUCGAAUCCGGGAGAGGGAUGUGGAAUUCCAGGUGUAGCGGUGAAAUGCGUAGAUAUCUGGAGGAACACCGGUGGCGAAGGCGGCAUCCUGGACCGGUAUUGACGCUGAGGCGCGAAAGCCAGGGGAGCAAACGGGAUUAGAUACCCCGGUAGUCCUGGCCCUAAACGAUGAAUGCUUGGUGUGGCGGGUAUCGAUCCCUGCCGUGCCGAAGCUAACGCAUUAAGCAUUCCGCCUGGGGAGUACGGUCGCAAGGCUG